GACGAACGCUGGCGGCGUGCUUAACACAUGCAAGUCGAACGAAGUGGCGAACGGGUGAGUAACGCGUAAUCAACCUGCCCUUCAGAGGGGGACAACAGUUGGAAACGACUGCUAAUACCGCAUACUGAAGGUGGGGAGUGCGUCGGAUGAGCUAGUUGGAGGGGUAACGGCCCACCAAGGCGAGGAUCAGUAGCCGGUCUGAGAGGAUGAAAGGCCACAUUGGGACGGGGACACGGCCCAGACUCCUACGGGAGGAAGCAGUGGGGAAGCUUCCGCAAUGGACGAAAGUCUGACGGAGCAACGCGGCGUGAGUGAUGACGGCCUUCGGGUUGUAAAGCUCUGUUAAUCGGGACGCGGUACCGGAAUAGAAAGCCACGGCUAACUACGUGCCAGCAGCCGCGGUAAUUC
rnacentral:rRNA from 1 species